AAUCUCUUAAAUUUAGAUGCUGUAAAGCCGUUAAGGGC
rnacentral:sRNA from 1 species